UAGAACCGUCAGGGGAGUCUCGCCAGAGAGACUGAGAGGCUGGUAGCGAUUAUCGCGGCCCGGCGACCCUUAGAACCUGACCCAGUUGAUACUGGCGUAGGAAGACGCGUUGCUUUGCCC
rnacentral:ncRNA from 2 species